rnacentral:rRNA from 1 species
GUGAGUAACACGUGGGCAAUCUGCCCUUCACUCUGGGACAAGCCCUGGAAACGGGGUCUAAUACCGGAUAACACCGGCCUCUGCAUGGGGGCUGGUUAAAAGCUCCGGCGGUGAAGGAUGAGCCCGCGGCCUAUCAGCUUGUUGGUGAGGUAACGGCUCACCAAGGCGACGACGGGUAGCCGGCCUGAGAGGGCGACCGGCCACACUGGGACUGAGACACGGCCCAGACUCCUACGGGAGGCAGCAGUGGGGAAUAUUGCACAAUGGGCGAAAGCCUGAUGCAGCGACGCCGCGUGAGGGAUGACGGCCUUCGGGUUGUAAACCUCUUUCAGCAGGGAAGAAGCGAAAGUGACGGUACCUGCAGAAGAAGCGCCGGCUAACUACGUGCCAGCAGCCGCGGUAAUACGUAGGGCGCAAGCGUUGUCCGGAAUUAUUGGGCGUAAAGAGCUCGUAGGCGGCUUGUCACGUCGGGUGUGAAAGCCCGGGGCUUAACCCCGGGUCUGCAUCCGAUACGGGCAGGCUAGAGUGUGGUAGGGGAGAUCGGAAUUCCUGGUGUAGCGGUGAAAUGCGCAGAUAUCAGGAGGAACACCGGUGGCGAAGGCGGAUCUCUGGGCCAUUACUGACGCUGAGGAGCGAAAGCGUGGGGAGCGAACAGGAUUAGAUACCCUGGUAGUCCACGCCGUAAACGUUGGGAACUAGGUGUUGGCGACAUUCCACGUCGUCGGUGCCGCAGCUAACGCA